rnacentral:rRNA from 1 species
AAGAGGGCCGGAAGGCUACCAUGCAAGUCGAGCGGUAACAGAAUCCAGCUUGCUGGAUGCUGACGAGCGGCGGACGGGUGAGUAAUGCAUAGGAAUCUGCCCGAUAGUGGGGGAUAACCUGGGGAAACCCAGGCUAAUACCGCAUACGUCCUACGGGAGAAAGGGGGCUCCGGCUCCCGCUAUGGGAUGAGCCUAUGUCGGAUUAGCUAGUUGGUGAGGUAACGGCUCACCAAGGCCACGAUCCGUAGCUGGUCUGAGAGGAUGAUCAGCCACAUCGGGACUGAGACACGGCCCGAACUCCUACGGGAGGCAGCAGUGGGGAAUAUUGGACAAUGGGGGCAACCCUGAUCCAGCCAUGCCGCGUGUGUGAAGAAGGCCCUCGGGUUGUAAAGCACUUUCAGCGAGGAAGAACGCCUAGCGGUUAAUACCCGCUAGGAAAGACAUCACUCGCAGAAGAAGCACCGGCUAACUCCGUGCCAGCAGCCGCGGUAAUACGGAGGGUGCAAGCGUUAAUCGGAAUUACUGGGCGUAAAGCGCGCGUAGGUGGCUUGAUAAGCCGGUUGUGAAAGCCCCGGGCUCAACCUGGGAACGGCAUCCGGAACUGUCAAGCUAGAGUGCAGGAGAGGAAGGUAGAAUUCCCGGUGUAGCGGUGAAAUGCGUAGAGAUCGGGAGGAAUACCAGUGGCGAAGGCGGCCUUCUGGACUGACACUGACACUGAGGUGCGAAAGCGUGGGUAGCAAACAGGAUUAGAUACCCUGGUAGUCCACGCCGUAAACGAUGUCGACCAGCCGUUGGGUGCCUAGCGCACUUUGUGGCGAAGUUAACGCGAUAAGUCGACCGCCUGGGGAGUACGGCCGCAAGGUUAAAACUCAAAUGAAUUGACGGGGGCCCGCACAAGCGGUGGAGCAUGUGGUUUAAUUCGAUGCAACGCGAAGAACCUUACCUACUCUUGACAUCCUGCGAAUUUGGUAGAGAUACCUUAGUGCCUUCGGGAACGCA